GACGAACGCUGGCGGCGUGCCUAAUACAUGCAAGUAGAACGCUGAAGCUUGGUGCUUGCACCGAGCGGAUGAGUUGCGAACGGGUGAGUAACGCGUAGGUAACCUGCCUGGUAGCGGGGGAUAACUAUUGGAAACGAUAGCUAAUACCGCAUAAAAUGGAUUAUCGCAUGAUAAUUCAUUGAAAGGUGCAAAUGCAUCACUACCAGAUGGACCUGCGUUGUAUUAGCUAGUUGGUGGGGUAACGGCUCACCAAGGCGACGAUACAUAGCCGACCUGAGAGGGUGAUCGGCCACACUGGGACUGAGACACGGCCCAGACUCCUACGGGAGGCAGCAGUAGGGAAUCUUCGGCAAUGGACGGAAGUCUGACCGAGCAACGCCGCGUGAGUGAAGAAGGUUUUCGGAUCGUAAAGCUCUGUUGUAAGAGAAGAACGAGUGUGAGAGUGGAAAGUUUCACACUGUGACGGUAUCUACCCAGAAA
rnacentral:rRNA from 1 species